rnacentral:rRNA from 1 species
CGCGUAGGCGGCUUUGUCAGUCCCGUGUGAAAUCCCUCGGCUCAACUGAGGAACUGCACGGGAAACUGCCUGGCUUGAGUUCGGGAGAGGGAAGCGGAAUUCCGGGUGUAGCGGUGAAAUGCGUAGAUAUCCGGAGGAACACCGGUGGCGAAGGCGGCUUCCUGGACCGACACUGACGCUGAGGCGCGAAAGCUAGGGGAGCAAACG